rnacentral:lncRNA from 1 species
CUUUUGAGUCAGGAUAGUGCCUAUAUAAAGAGAAUGUCUCUAGGGUUUCUAGAUGAUAGAAUUUUGUGAAACCAAAAGUCUCCCUCUCCCUUCUCCAUGCCUCCCCUCUUCCCUCUUCUCUUUUAUGCCCAAAGGUUGGGCAUCCCACUUUUCACACACCAAGAGUAGAGGUGCUGUCCAUCUACAGUGAAGAACAAUUAGAAGAAGAAAAAGAUUGCAGAUCAAGGAGUUGAUCUCACAGUCU